rnacentral:lncRNA from 1 species
UAUUUUUUAAAUUUUUUAACUUUUAAACAAUGUAGGGUGUUGGUUGGUGCAUUGUUUGCUAGAGUUAAGGGCAUGUUUGGUUCACCUAUUUUAGACUAUGGAAUCGGAAUGGAAUUCAUUGAUUCCGAUAGUUGCCGUUUGUUUUAUAGGAAUCGGAUUUCGAUUCUCAUUCCACUCCGAAAUGGGAAUGGCCAAAUCCAUUUAUGAUCCAAUCCGGCUUUGAAUCCCGAAUUGGCUUAUUCUAAAGUAACCUAUUCAAAAUCCUCUUUCAUCAAUAUCUAUCUCCUCUCCCUUCAUCACUUUUCUCUCUCUUAAUCAAAACCUUCUCUCAAAAAUUUUAAAUUUUCAUUCCGAUUUUCAUUCCAAUAAUGUACCAAACAUUUUUGGAUGAUUCGUCAUUCCAUUUCCAAUUCCAAAGCAACCCAAUUCCAUUUUCCAUUCCUAUUCUAAUCAUGAACCAAACAUGCCCUAAGUGUUACUGUAAAG